AAGCUAUUAAUUUCUAUUUGAAAUUU
rnacentral:tRNA from 1 species